AAUGAACGUUGGCGGCGUGGAUUAGGCAUGCAAGUCGAGCGUGUACCCCGCAAGGGGGAAAGCGGCGUAAGGGAGAGUAAUACGUAGAUACGUGCCUCCGGGUCUGGGAUAGCCACGGGAAACUGUGGGUAAUACCGGAUAAUGUCUGAGGACCAAAGGUGUGAUUCCACCUGGAGAUCGGUCUGCGUCCUAUCAUGCUUGUUGGUGAGGUAACGGCUCACCAAGGCUACGACGGGUACGGGGAGUGAGAGCUUGCCCCCGCUCACGGGGACUGAGACACUGCCCAGACACCUACGGGUGGCUGCAGUCGAGGAUCUUCGGCAAUGGGCGCAAGCCUGACCGAGCGACGCCGCGUGCGGGAUGAAGGCCUUCGGGUUGUAAACCGCUGUCAGUGGGGAGGAAGGCUCCGUGGAGAACGGGGUUUGACCUAUCCGCAGAGGAAGUGUGGGCUAAGUUCGUGCCAGCCGCCGCCGUAA
rnacentral:rRNA from 1 species